UUCCCACACUUUCUGUGUGGCUGUGAGUCUCUGCACCUAUCCAGGACCCCUACCCAGUACAGACUCAGCCCUUCUGCCUGGAGCCAGGGCUUCACACAGACCCUCACCCCAACCCAACACACCAGUUUGCAGGACGCUCUGGAGCUCAAGACCAUACAAGGACCGUGAAGACAGAGAAGGCAUCUUCAGGUCUGGCUCUGAGAGAAUCCAGCCUUCCAGAUAGGGCACAGCUCAAGCAAAGGUCUGCAAGACAGCAGGAGAGAGACCAUCUAUAAAGGGACCGCAGCAAACUGAAAACGGAAUCAGAGCACUGGCUGGGGGCAAGCUUGUGCUCCAGUACUGAGUAUGGCAACUGCUAACAGAACUUUCUAGGCAAACUCUCUGGGUCUUCAUUCCAGACAUCGGAGCUGGUACAGGGAGAUGUGUGGCAAGACCCUCACUCUUCUUAGACCUGGACCAUCCCUGUAGUUGAACAGAAAAGGCACCUAUUAGCUUUCUCAACUCCCUCAUAAACAGAGACCAAAUAUAAAGGAAAACAGAACCAACGAGCCAUCAGGAGGAAAAAGAAAAUGUAGGCUGCAAAAGAUAUUUUUCUCACCCAAAACCACUCUAUUCUGAAAAGAGAACAGGAUGCUCUGAAAAAAGGCGCUGCAUCCAGGGGUUAGCAGCAACACCUCAGGAAUCAAAAACACGACCACUGAAAUUCAAAGGUUUUUUAAUGAACCAUCAUGUGCUACUAACACUUUGGUCAACAACAGGCCACACGUGGUCCCAUAAGAAUGCAUAAUAUUGAGGGCCGAGAGUGACUCAAUCGUAGCUGCUUGCCUAUCAUGUGCAAAGGCCUGGGUUCCAUCCCCAUCACUGCUAAAAACUUUUGGUGGUAUUGAAAAACUCCUAUCAAUUAAUUAUGCCGUAAGGCAUCGUGACAUAAUGUAGCCCUCAUGCUUGUAGUGGGAAUGGUAAGAACACACCCACGGCUCUGCCAGUGGAAUCGAGUGCAGUACACACGAGGUGCCGUGCCCAGCACUGCAAAACAGCAACAAACAGCUGUGGUCCUCCCUUAUGCAUGUGCCAUGAGAUGUUUUGUUAUUUUAGUGUGUUUGUGUUUGUGUUUGCCUGAUAAAGGACUGGCUGUGAAACACAGCUGAGUUCAUGGGAGUCUCUGACACCUAGUGCUCAGUUUUCCCUUCUGUGCUUUUCCUCAGCCUCACACCGCUCCAUUCAAAACAAUGCAACGGGCGAUGGGUUCUUCACGCCCAGCUUCCACACGGCCCAGGUGUGUAGGAAAUGGCACCGUCUAGGCUUACACUUUAGAACACCAAAUCACUUACUGGCAAGUUCCUCAGAAUGCACCCCACCAUUAAACGACACGUGACCGCAUAUAGUGUGAGAGAGAAGGGUCUGAAGCUCUGUCAGUAAGGAGCUUGCCGCUGAGGCCUGAGGCCUGAGGCCCGAGUCGGACCCCUAGGAGCCCUGGAAAAGGGCAGGUGUGGUGGCACACACUGUAAUCCCAGUGCAGUACGGCUGAGAUGGGCAGAUCUGGCCAGAUCUGACUGGCCAGCUAGCUUGGUGUAGCCUGGUCUAAUCAGACUGCUCCAGGCCCCAUCGAGAGACUCUGAAACAAAACAACAACAAAAAUACUUCAUGGACACAAGGCAUGUACACAAUGAACAUGCAAG